UACGUAGGGUGCGAGCGUUAAUCGGAAUCACUGGGCGUAAAGCGCGCGCAGGCGGCGAUCUACGUCUGGGGUGAAAGCCCGGAGCUCAACUCCGGGACUGCCUUGGAUACGGGAUCGCUUGAGAAUUGGAGAGGCAAGGGGAAUUCCACGUGUAGCGGUGAAAUGUGUAGAUAUGUGGAGGAACACCUGUGGCGAAGGCGCCUUGCUGGCCAAUUUCUGACGCUGAGGCGCGAAAGCGUGGGGAGCAAACAGG
rnacentral:rRNA from 1 species